AGACUUUGAUCCUGGCUCAGAACGAACGCUGGCGGCAGGCCUAACACAUGCAAGUCGAGCGCGCCCUUCGGGGUGAGCGGCGGACGGGUGAGUAACGCGUGGGGACGUGCCCUCUUCUGCGGAAUAGCCACUGGAAACGGUGAGUAAUACCGCAUACGCCCUUUUGGGGAAAGAUUUAUCGGAGGAGGAUCGGCCCGCGUUGGAUUAGGUAGUUGGUGGGGUAAUGGCCUACCAAGCCGACGAUCCAUAGCUGGUUUUAGAGGAUGAUCAGCCACACUGGGACUGAGACACGGCCCAGACUCCUACGGGAGGCAGCAGUGGGGAAUCUUAGACAAUGGGCGCAAGCCUGAUCUAGCCAUGCCGCGUGAGUGACGAAGGCCCUAGGGUCGUAAAGCUCUUUCGCCUGUGAUGAUAAUGACAGUAGCAGGUAAAGAAACCCCGGCUAACUCCGUGCCAGCGGCCGCGGUAAUACGGAGGGGGUUAGCGUUGUUCGGAAUUACUGGGCGUAAAGCGCGCGUAGGC
rnacentral:rRNA from 1 species